UGGGCUCUGCUUCCCGGCGGGGUCCUGCGGAGUUGGCGGAGGCUCCUCCGGGGACUAGGGGACCGAUCUGCGUAGAAGCGGGUGGCGGGGAAGAGGGGAGGAGAACUCUGUGUGGGAAGCGGAGCCGGGGGCCUGGGACCCGUCGCGUCAGAGCCAGGCAAGUGAACCGGAGCAAACGACUUCCGAUCCAGUCUACGCUGCUGCGGCUCCCGUUUGGGAUUUGAUUUGCAGCAUCUUCGAGUCUGUGCAACAAAAAACCGCGAAGCACGCCCAGCCCUCCCCCAGCACCCAGAGACGCACCCGCUCCCUCCCGGGGACCCAGCUGGGCGCGUCCACACCCCCGCACCCCCACACCAUGUUGUGCGGAAGGACUUCCACUCCCCGCCUGUGUCGUUGAUGUCAGACCCCAGGCCAACCUCCGGGCGCUGCAGUUCUCCUGGCUAAUGCUGAGGCUGCGGCUUGGGCUCUAGCACAGGAACCGACCAACGCCGCGCCCGGCCCCAGCGCCCACCGACUGCAUGUGCCCGCCGUAGUCGCCUGCCCAACCCGCAGCCCGCGCUCCCCGGAGCGCUGGAGACCACCGCGGGGGGCCCCUUCUGCCCGCGGGAGAAGCGAUCUUGGAGGUAUUGAUUUCGGUGGUUGGAUUUUCCCCGUGGAUCUAUCAAUUCACAAUUCGAAUUUGGAAGAAAGAAGGAAAACAUGACGUCUCCAGCCAAAUUCAAAAAGGAUAAGGAGAUCAUAGCGGAGUACGAUACUCAGGUCAAAGAGAUCCGCGCUCAGCUCACAGAGCAGAUGAAAUGCCUGGACCAGCAGUGUGAGCUCCGGGUGCAGCUGUUGCAGGACCUCCAGGACUUCUUCCGGAAGAAGGCUGAGAUCGAGAUGGACUACUCCCGCAACCUGGAAAAGCUGGCAGAGCGCUUCCUGGCCAAGACGAGAAGCACCAAGGACCAGCAGUUCAAGAAGGAUCAGAAUGUUCUCUCUCCAGUCAACUGCUGGAAUCUCCUCUUAAACCAGGUGAAGCGGGAGAGCAGGGACCACACUACCUUGAGUGACAUCUACCUGAAUAAUAUCAUUCCUCGAUUUGUCCAAGUCAGUGAGGACUCAGGAAGACUCUUUAAAAAGAGCAAAGAAGUCGGCCAGCAGCUCCAAGAUGAUCUGAUGAAGGUCCUGAAUGAGCUCUACUCGGUCAUGAAGACAUAUCACAUGUACAAUGCCGACAGCAUCAGUGCUCAAAGCAAGCUAAAGGAAGCGGAGAAGCAGGAGGAGAAGCAAAUCGGAAAAUCCGUAAAGCAGGAGGACCGGCAGACCCCACGCUCCCCUGACUCCACCUCCAACGUCCGCAUUGAGGAGAAGCACGUCCGGAGGAGCUCGGUGAAAAAGAUCGAGAAGAUGAAGGAAAAGCGCCAAGCCAAGUACACGGAGAAUAAGCUGAAGGCCAUUAAAGCCCGGAAUGAGUACUUACUGGCUUUAGAAGCAACCAAUGCAUCUGUCUUCAAGUACUACAUCCACGACCUGUCUGACCUUAUUGAUCAGUGUUGUGACCUAGGCUACCACGCUAGCCUGAACCGGGCGCUACGCACCUUCCUGUCCGCUGAGCUGAAUCUGGAGCAGUCAAAGCACGAGGGUCUAGAUGCCAUAGAGAACGCUGUAGAAAACCUGGACGCCACCAGCGACAAGCAGCGCCUCAUGGAGAUGUACAACAAUGUCUUCUGCCCACCUAUGAAGUUUGAGUUCCAGCCCCACAUGGGGGACAUGGCUUCCCAGCUCUGUGCCCAGCAGCCCGUCCAGAGUGAGCUGGUCCAAAGAUGCCAACAACUGCAGUCUCGCUUAUCCACCCUGAAGAUUGAGAACGAAGAGGUCAAGAAGACAAUGGAGGCCACUCUGCAGACCAUCCAGGACAUUGUGACCGUCGAGGAUUUUGACGUGUCUGACUGCUUUCAGUACAGCAACUCUAUGGAGUCCGUCAAGUCCACCGUCUCAGAAACCUUCAUGAGCAAGCCCAGCAUCGCCAAGAGGAGAGCCAACCAGCAGGAGACAGAGCAGUUCUAUUUCACGAAAAUGAAGGAGUACCUGGAGGGCAGGAACCUCAUCACCAAGCUGCAAGCCAAGCAUGACCUGCUCCAGAAAACCCUGGGAGAGAGUCAGCGGACAGAUUGCAGUCUGGCCAGGCGUAGCUCAACCGUGAGGAAACAGGAUUCCAGCCAGGCAAUUCCUCUGGUGGUGGAAAGCUGUAUCCGGUUUAUCAGCAGACACGGACUGCAGCAUGAGGGAAUUUUCCGGGUGUCAGGAUCCCAGGUGGAAGUGAAUGACAUCAAAAACGCCUUUGAGAGAGGAGAGGACCCCCUGGCUGGGGACCAGAAUGACCAUGACAUGGAUUCCAUCGCUGGUGUCCUGAAGCUCUACUUCCGGGGGCUGGAACACCCUCUCUUCCCCAAGGACAUCUUCCAUGACCUCAUGGCCUGUGUCACCAUGGACAACCUGCAGGAGAGAGCUCUACACAUCCGGAAGGUCCUCCUGGUCCUGCCCAAAACCACUCUGAUUAUCAUGAGAUACCUCUUUGCCUUCCUCAAUCAUUUAUCCCAGUUCAGUGAAGAGAACAUGAUGGACCCCUACAACCUCGCCAUCUGCUUCGGGCCCUCGCUGAUGUCGGUGCCUGAGGGCCACGACCAGGUGUCCUGCCAAGCCCACGUGAACGAGCUGAUCAAAACCAUCAUCAUCCAGCAUGAGAACGUCUUCCCCAACCCCAGGGAGCUGGAGGGCCCCGUCUACAGCAGAGGAGGGAGCACGGAGGAUUACUGUGACAGCCCUCACGGUGAGACUACCUCGGCUGAAGACUCCACCCAGGACGUGACCGCAGAGCACCACACAAGCGAUGAUGAGUGUGAGCCCAUUGAGGCCAUUGCCAAGUUUGACUACGUGGGCCGGACAGCCCGAGAGCUGUCUUUCAAGAAGGGGGCAUCCCUGCUGCUUUACCAGCGGGCUUCCGACGACUGGUGGGAAGGCCGGCACAAUGGCAUCGACGGACUCAUCCCCCAUCAGUACAUCGUGGUCCAGGACACGUUGAUAUCCUGAAUGAGUCUGCACCCUCCCAGCCUCUCCCCGGCUCGUCCUGCGGGGAAAUCCUCCCUCUGUUGAUAACAUCGCUUUCCUGGUGGCCAUCUGUGCGUGGACAGGACCCUCCCAAAUUUAGCGUUAUGACUUCACUGCAGGACCAAGAGAAGAUGAAUUGUGGGGGAGAAGGGGCUUUCUUUGUCAUCAGUAGCCAGAGGGGCCAGGAGAGCCGUGGAGAGACCGGCUUGGAUGCUCUAAGUGGGGCUCGACGCGCUGCGACAGAGUGUGGCGGGGUCCUGCCUCAACGCCGGCAGCUCCAGAGCCACAGCAGAGCGGACUGUUCUUACCCGGCUGUGCUCGGGACCUCAGCACAUAAACCGCCAUCCUGCAGGAGGUGGCCCUGGCACAGCUGCCCCAGGGAAGCAGCAAGGGCUGGAAGGCAGAUGCCUCGAAGCCAGGUGUCCCCUAGCCCAGCUUUCCAGAGGAGCUGAGGACCCCGCAGGACUCAGCAGGAUUAUUUAUUUUUAUUUAAACCACCCUCCAAAGGCCUGUAGCUCUCCUUGCCUCUGCUCCCAAAGCUAGCCCAGCCAGGCAUCGCUGCCACCUCCAAGCCAUCGCAGGGUUGUGUGCUCAUGCGUGUGUGUGUGUGUGUGUGUGUGUGUGUGUGUGUGUCGGGGGGGCCAUCCUGCCGAUUUAACACUGCUUUUUGUGUUGUUGUUGUUUUCCCCUCCUCCCCGCCUGCCUGCCCCUUCUGCCCCAGCGAGGACGGUGUCGUGGAGAGGUCCAGCCCCAAGUCUGACAUUGAGGUCAUUUCUGAGCCACCUGAAGAAAAGGUGACAGCCAGAGCGGGGGCCAGCUGUCCCAGUGGGGGUCAUGUAGCCGAUAUUUAUCUUGCAAACAUCAACAAGCAAAGGAAGCGGCCCGAAUCUGGGAGCAUCCGGAAAACCUUUCGGAGUGACAGCCAUGGGCUGAGCAGUCCCCUGACUGAUCCCGCCUCCCCGGGGGUGGGGGCUAGCUGCCGCCCAUCUUCCCAGCCUGUCCUGAGCCAGAGCCUCCCAAAGGAAGGGCCCGAUAAGUGUUCCAUCAGUGGGCAUGGGAGCCUUAACUCCAUCAGCCGCCACUCAUCCCUGAAGAAUCGGCUGGACAAUCCACAGAUCCGGAAGACAGUGACAGCAGGAAGGUCAAAAAGCUUCAAUAACCACCGGCCCAUGGACCCGGAGGUCAUUGCGCAGGAUAUUGAAGCGACCAUGAACUCUGCCCUGAACGAGCUGCGGGAGCUAGAGCGGCAGAGCAGCGUCAAGCACACCCCGGAUGUGGUCCUGGAUACCUUGGAGCCCCUCAAGACCUCCCCCGUGGUGGCCCCCACGUCAGAGCCCUCCAGCCCCCUGCACACCCAGCUCCUCAAGGACCCCGAGCCGGCCUUCCAGCGCAGCGCCAGCACCGCUGGGGACAUCGCCUGCGCCUUCCGGCCCGUCAAGUCCGUCAAGAUGGCGGCCCCGGUCAAGCCGCCAGCCACGCGACCCAAGCCCGCUGUCUUCCCCAAAACAAAUGCCACUAGCCCCGGUGUCAACUCCUCGGCCUCCCCACAGUCCAAUGACAAGUCUUGUACUGUCUGAGGGGUGUAAUUUAAUUGUUCUAGACAAGGGGACUGGAGGGACUGACUGUUAUUAAAAUCUUCCUAUUUAACUAGCUUGGGGACUUCAGUUGAAAAUUAGAUUCUAAGUUGUUCUUGCAGGAUUUAGCCUUCCCGUCACCCCAAACCUUGCGAACGGAGCCCUCGUUCUCGCUCUGCCCUCCCCCUCCCUUCCCUCUGCCCUCUGCUUCCCCCAGUCGUUGUAAUCCAGCCAGUACAUACUGUUCUUAGGUUAGCCAGAGAUAAAUUUUUCCAUUAUCAGGUCACUGUGAAAUCUGGCGAGGCAAGUCAGGGGGCAGUGGGCUGAAGCCUCCGUCCCCGCAGAUACAGGGGAUGCCUAACCAGAUGAUUGGCUGGGGACAGCCAGCUCUCAGUGGCAUCUUGUUUUGGGUACUGAUUAUAGAGAAUCAUAUACAGUCCAUUCUCCGUUUUACACACACACACACACACAAACACACACACGUAGAUUUUUCUAGUCUCUGGCAUGUGUAGCCUCCUGGUCCUAGAUAGACCAGUCUCUUUGUAAGUUAUUGUGGCAGUUCACACAGGAGCCACCAGGGGUCUCUGUUUCCGUUACAAAUCUUGUUCUGUCUGGGCCAGAGAACCUAGCCUUUGAAAUCUCUCCAUCAUUUGAAAUUUAGCAGGAUGGGACUCAAUCCUGCAAUCUGUUUGGGGUUGGGGGCUUCCUCUCUGUCUUAUUUCUAUCGGUGUGAAUUGGUCAUUGGUGUUUGCUUUUGCUCUCCUCCAUUCUCUAGAACUGCAACCCAAUCCUACUAUGGAACUUCUGAGGUUUUUCUGAAUGUAUAGACAUUUCUUGGGUUUCUAUCUUCGUCUCUGAUGGACCAUUUUCCACUUAAGACAUUUUCCUGUAUAAGACAAUUUUAUAGUUGGUUCCUUUUAGGGUGAAGAGUCUUAAGAGAGUUUUAUUGUGUUUAUGGCAGGCUUGGAAAUGGUAAGAAAUGGGUCCUCUUCCUUCCACUUUUUUGGGUACUUAAGACAUAAAAUUCAUUAUCCUAUUAAAAAUUAAAUGCAGCUUUUCUAACCUUAAAAUUGUUCCCAGAUGAAAAUCUACUCUCAGUGGAUCCCCUCAUUGGGUUAAUCUACAGGGUCUCUCUUCAGGGACCAGUGGGGGCUUAGGGAGCCCUAGUUAGAUUAAAGAGAGACAUCGCCCCUUAGAAUUGGUUUAUUUAUCCAGACAAGGACAACUAAGAGAACUUUGGCCCCAUGGGCUCUAAAGUCUUUCCAAGGACUGAAUCGAAGAAAAUUAAAAAUUGGAUGCUGAAUAUUUGGGCCUUCCUUUGGCCUUUUUUUCUGGGUCCUCUGCCAAAAGCAAAAAUGACACCUUGACUGCUUUAAUUCCCUCUCCAGAUCUGAAGCCCAUGGUCCCAGCUCUCCUAGCAUCAUGCGGUCCCAGGAGGUCCAGGGCUGGGACCACUCACACCCCAGGCUGCUGGGUCUCGGAUAACUACUUGAGUUAAAAACUGAAAUGCAUUCCUCUUCUCUGUUUUCUGGUUUUAAAGCUGUGCUUUUUGCCUUAUUUUCCGCAGUUCAGGAAAAUAGUGGGUUGCCAUUCGGAUAGGAAACUGAAUUUUCUUAUCUUUGGCCUAGAAGAUCCUUUUUUGGACCAACAUUGGGAAGUUGGUAGUUGGCUCUGUGGAACACAGUAGAAUUUUCCCCAUUCUGUGCAAAGGAAAAGAGGAGCAUGGUGGGAAGUCACUGGUUAGAAGAGUAGGCUGCAACACCAGGAAAACCAUCCCAAGAGCUAAGAGGGGGAGAUGAAGAACGCCUUCAGUGAGUCGGCCUGUGAGAGGCAACCCACGGUCCUCUGGAUUCUUGACUUUUGUUGCUCUGUUGAGUGCCUGUCCUUGUCUGUCACCUGGACUUACACAGGUCCUGAGCCAACAGGGGGCUUUCAUCCCCAGGGAUCUGUUUCCUUGCCGACAAUGAAACCCCACCCUUCAUCUGACAUUCCUUUUGCUCCAACUAGUCAAAAUGGGUGCCCAUAGCUGCCCUUCUGCCCUUGCUCCAGCUCAUCCUUCUUUGAGAAAGGAAAGGCAGGGCUUCCUUAGGGACGCCACCUUGGGUCUGUUCUGUUGCUCUGCCUCAUUUCUCUUGCAGCCCUGAACCUGACUUGUGUUCACCGUCCCCUUGGUCAGGGUCCGUCUGCUGAUGUGCAUCACGAACUGGACAGUGUGUGCGUGGUCACCUGCUACCCCCCGAUCUGGGAGUCGAGCUGUCUUCCCACCUCUGGUGCUCCUGCCACCUGUGAGAGGGUCCCGUCCAGGGGACUAGGAACCCCAGGAGGAGAGUCCUUCCUCGGCAGAGCUCAUUGCCAUCAACUGGAAUCGAGGUUGCACACUGUGAUUUUUACACCGAAAAGCCAAACGGAGCUGGCCCCCCAGGGCCUAGGGAGACCAGUCUUCCUCCGAUAUGCUUGCCUAAACCAGCAUGAUGCUUCAGAGAGCCCCUCUCUGCCCCUGGAGGCGUGGAUUCUCUUCCUGAUGUGGACUCUGAUGGGUUGGUCUUUGGGAGACAGAGGUGGGGUGGGGCUUCCAGCAUCCCAGUUUGGAAAAGAGAGGAGUUUGCAGCCAGCAGCCUGGAAACUGGAAACACUGGUCUCAGCCAACCUCCUCAGGGCACACCCUGGUUUCUCCCCAAAGAGUUGAGGAGAGAUGACGCCAGCAACAGGAGGAACCGACCACUGGAAGGGCUGGUGUACAUGUACUUCAUGUUCAGAAGAGAAGUUAGAUCUUCCAGGGAAUUGCAAUGUUGUGGCGUCUGGCUUGUAUGUCACGUUUGUGUAAAAUGGUAUAUUCUUUAAAAUAGUGUUGAUAACUGGAAUAUUGUAUGUAUGCUUGGAGAUGCUUUGUGUGAACCUAAGACUGUCACUCAACAGAUGUUGGAUUGGGGAAAAUCCAAAGCACAACUUCGAAAUAAAAUACGUUUUUAGGUUUC